AUGGAAUUUCAGACUCAGGUAUUCAUGACCCUGCUGUUCUGGGUAUCUGGUGCCAAUGCUAAUGUCAUGAUGACCCAGUCUCCAACUUCACUUGCUGUAUCAGCAGGUGAGAUGGUUUCCCUCAGCUGCAAGUCCAGUGAGAACCUUUAUUCAAGCACAUACAAGGCGAACUACUUGGCUUGGUACCAAAAGAAAUCAGGGCAAUCUCCUAAACUGCUGAUCUUCUAUGCAUCCCAUAGAGCAUCUGGGGUCCCUGAUCGCUUCAUAGGCAGUGGAUCUGGGACAGAUUUCACUCUCACCAUCAGAAGUGUGCAGGCUGAAGACACGGCAGAUUAUUACUGUGCACGGCAUUAUAGCUCUCCUCACACUUUUGGGGCUGGCUCAUCUGCAUCUUUCUUCAGUAGGUUCUACUGUGCUGCCCAGUCAGCUGAGUAG